UCCAGUGAGACCAACAAAAUUUGUUCAUGGUUCCGUGCGCCCUAUUUCUGUGCUGUUCUGUUGUUGCUAGAAAUUGAAGCUCAGGUCUUUAUCUGAGUUAGGUAUCUGUAGUUCGGUGUAACGGCUGACAGCACCCCAAAUCGCAGUUAAGCCCCCCCUCGACUAACUGGCUGACUGAUUUAGUGGUGUUGGUGUUAAUCCCAUCCCUAAGAUAAAACCUAGUCUGGAAUGUGCCACAUCCCCCGAUAAGGCCGCAAAAGUGACUUUCGGAAGCGUCACAUGUAUCAAACAAUGAUCCAUCGAUUAACAGAAAUUCCAACAUCGCUCAAUAAUGAGUAACUCACUUUGUGGAAUUACCUUGCGUUUCAUCCAACUUUGGGUUCAAAACAUCAUUGAGUCACGCCACAGCCGAGAGCCGGGACUUGCCCGACCAGUUUCCAGCAACAUCAACAGCCGUGUAACAGCCGUCCAUGAAUGAACUCGCUCGGCGGCCCCACAAGGUCUUUUCCGAUGGGUUUGACUUCUGCGCGAGAUUCCACCAGAAGCAACAAAAAAGGAGAAGAAAAAUGACAUCAUCGUCCUUCUCCAGCAGCAGCAGUGAAAGCAGAUCAAUACCAAAUGUUUUUGGAACUGUGUUGUUUUUUUUUGGAACUGAUUCAAUUCUUGCUCGCGACUAGUUGCACUAAUUGACUCUGUGCGCUAUUUUUAGAACUGGUUUAAGUUUGGAACGAGCGGUCUCAGUCCCAAUCCCAAAAGAGAAAGAGAGAACUAAAGUCAAGCCACAUCGACAUCAACACUUACCUCAAAAAGUUUGCUGUGUCAAUUGCGUCGCUCCAAAACAAGCUUAAAAACUGCGUUCUUCAAAUCUCCAACGUAAUCCGGAACCACCGAAUCGACUCGAAUCCGCGACGAAACCACUACUUUUCCCGUACAACUUCCGCAAAUCGAGCAAAAAUAAAAAA